rnacentral:rRNA from 1 species
UACGGAGGAUGCAAGCGUUAUCCGGAAUUAUUGGGCGUAAAGAGUCCGUAGGUGGAAGUUCAAGUCUGUCGUUAAAGAAUGGAGCUUAACUCCAUAGAGGCGGUGGAAACUGAACAACUAGAGUGCGGUAGGGGUAACGGGAAUUCCCAGUGUAGCGGUGAAAUGCGUAGAUAUUGGGAAGAACAUCGGUGGCGAAAGCGCGUUACUGGGCCGAAACUGACACUGAGGGACGAAAGCUAGGGUAGCGAAAGGG